UACAUACAUUUUUUCCUCCUGUCACAAACUUUAACUGGAAUUUCUGAAGCCUAAAAAAAGGUUUACAGACAUUUGAAAUCGUCUUCAAAUCGGAAAUUUUUUGGCAGUUUGGAACAUCUUCAGUUCAGUUUGAGGUUUAGUUAGUUUUGAAAUAAUCUAAAAAAACAGAAAAAACUUUUGGCAGUUAUUCAACAUCUUCAGUUCAGUUUGAG